GAUGAACGCUGGCGGCGUGCCUAAUACAUGCAAGUCGAGCGAACGGACGAGAAGCUUGCUUCUCUGAUGUUAGCGGCGGACGGGUGAGUAACACGUGGAUAACCUACCUAUAAGACUGGGAGAACUUCGGGAAACCGGAGCUAAUACCGGAUAAUAUUUUGAACCGCAUGGUUCAAAAGUGAAAGACGGUCUUGCUGUCACUUAUAGAUGGAUCCGCGCUGCAUUAGCUAGUUGGUAAGGUAACGGCUUACCAAGGCAACGAUGCAUAGCCGACCUGAGAGGAUGAUCGGCCACACUGGAACUGAGACACGGUCCAGACUCCUACGGGAGGCAGCAGUAGGGAAUCUUCCGCAAUGGGCGCAAGCCUGACGGAGCAACGCCGCGUGAGUGAUGAAGGUCUUCGGAUCGUAAAACUCUGUUAUUAGGGAAGAAAAUAUGUGUAAGUAACUGUGCACAUCUUGACGGUACCUAAUCAGAAAGCCACGGCUAACUACGUG
rnacentral:rRNA from 1 species